AAUCCGUCGCGAGAUAAUGCGAGACUAGACUUGCGGUUGCCGGCUUGGCUGAAAUGGACGACAGACGGGACGGCCUGGCGAUUUAUAUUUUCUCUUCAUCUCUACUCUGACCUGGACCAAUUCUUGGACCAUUUAUAGGCUACUACAUAUUCUGCAGUACGCCGAAGCAGAGGAAAUGGCAGCGGGUAGGAUUGAGAGUCGCAGCAUGCAAUACUGGGGAACCAGAAGGAGUCCCAAUGGAACCGCUUCACAUGCUGAUGUACAAGGAACUUAAGCUGGGCUUCUAGUAGUUUUCUUUGCCCCAGGCCAUGGAGGAGUACCGGGAGGACUUCGCCUUUGAGGAAAGCAUUGAAAAUGAAGCUGUGUGCCAAAUAAGAAAGCAGAUUUAUGAGAAAAGAACAGUCAAAGUCAUCAAGCACUUAAGCUUGCUUCAACAAGAUUUCUGCACAAGACUUGCUCUCAGGGCAGUGAGAACAGAGGAUAGCAGGCACCACUGUAACUAGUCAGCUAUCUUGCCCAACUGGAAAGAAGGCUAUUAUUUAGUUUUAAAAAAA